UGGGGAAUAUUGCACAAUGGGCGCAAGCCUGAUGCAGCCAUGCCGCGUGUAUGAAGAAGGCCUUCGGGUUGUAAAGUACUUUCAGCGGGGAGGAAGGGAGUAAAGUUAAUACCUUUGCUCAUUGACGUUACCCGCAGAAGAAGCACCGGCUAACUCCGUGCCAGCAGCCGCGGUAAUACGGAGGGUGCAAGCGUUAAUCGGAAUUACUGGGCGUAAAGCGCACGCAGGCGGUUUGUUAAGUCAGAUGUGAAAUCCCCGGGCUAAACCUGGGAACUGCAUCUGAUACUGGCAAGCUUGAGUCUCGUAGAGGGGGGUAGAAUUCCAGGUGUAGCGGUGAAAUGCGUAGAGAUCUGGAGGAAUACCGGUGGCGAAGGCGGCCCCCUGGACGAUGACUGACGCUGAGGUGCGAAAGCGUGGGGAGCAAACAGG
rnacentral:rRNA from 1 species